GGCGAAAGGGUGAGUAACACGUAACCAACGUACCCCUCAGAUCGGAAUAACCUCUGGAAACGGUGGGUAAUGCCGAAUGGUCCGCCAGCAGGCAUCUGCUGGACGGUAAACGGUGGCUUCGGCUGCUGUUGAGGGAGCGGGUUGCGGCCUAUCAGCUUGUUGGUGGGGUAACGGCCUACCAAGGCGAUGACGGGUAGCGGGUCUGAGAGGAUGAUCCGUCACACUGGGACUGAGACACUGCCCAGACUCCUACGGGAGGCUGCAGUCGAGAAUCUUCCACAAUGGACGAAAGUCUGAUGGAGCGACACCGCGUGCAGGAUGAAGGCCCUAGGGUUGUAAACUGCUGUCACGCUAUAGGAACCCACGGUGGUGAAUAGUCAUCGUGCUGACUAAAGCGAAAGGAAGCGCCGGCUAACUCCGUGCCAGCAGCCGCGGUAAUACGGAGGGCGCAAGCGUUGUUCGGAUUCACUGGGCAUAAAGAGCACGUAGGCGGUCUGCUCAGUCGGGUGUGAAAGCCCACGGCCCAACCGUGGAACUGCACCCGAUACUGGUAGACUCGAGGACGGAAGGGGUGAGUGGAACUCCAGGUGGAACGGUGAAAUGUAUAGAUAUCUGGAGGAACACCGGUGGCGAAAGCGG
rnacentral:rRNA from 1 species